CAUGUAUACAAAUGAGGGGGUGAUGAAUGCAUGGGUGUCAGAUUUGGAAGACUUUGGUUCAAGCCCCGUUUCAGUCAUUUCCUAGCUAUUGAUCUUGGUGAAAUCAUUUAACCACUCUAAGCUUCAGUUUUCCCAUCUGUUUAAAAUGUAUAAAAAUGUAUCCACUCAGAUGUUCAUACAACAAAUUUUAUUGUACACCAGGCAAGAGAUUAAGCACUAGAGAUAAAAAGAAAAAUAAGUUAUCACUGUUGAGAAGUAAGUCUACUAAAUAGAGAAAUAGUCUAGUAAAGGAGACAGGUAUAAAGCAUAUGUAUUUGAUAUAGUACGUAAUCAAUUCUAUUUUAAAGAUAUAAACAAAGCAUUAGUUGAGCUUAAAGGAUAGGGAGAUAACUUCUUGAGGAAGAUGAAAACAGUUAUUCAGAGUCAGUGAUGCUUGAGUUUUCUUACAUGACUAUGCUGAAUGGAUGGAAGCAGUAAGGGAGACAGGGAAAGAAAGAAUCUGGGAUGAAAAAAUGUCUAUUUUCUCAGGUCUCCAGUUUUUGUACAGCUAUGAAGAAAUACCCAAGACUGGGUAAUUUAUAAAGGAAAGGAAGUUUAAUGACUCACAGUUCCACAUGGCUGGGGAGGCCUCACAAUCAUGGCAGAAGACAAAGGAGGAGCAAAGGCACAUCUUACAUGGUGGCAGGCAAGACAGUGUAUGCAGGGGAACUGCCCUUUAUAAAACUAUCAGAUCUCAUGAGACUUAUUCACUAUCACGAGAACAGCACAGGAAAAUCCCAUCCCCAUGAUUCAAUUACCUCCCACUGGAUCCCUCUCACAACACUUGUGGAUUAGGGGAGCUACAAUUCAAGAUGAGAUUUGGGUGGGGACACAGCCAAGCCAUAUCACCAGUCUUGAAGGAGAAUGACAAAGUUCAGAGAGACUGGGGCAUGGUGGCAAGUGGAGGGAGAUAGUGACAGGGAUGAAGGCAUAGGCCACUUUUCAGCUGCUUAAUAUGCCAGGUUGAGAAAUUGGGAAUUUUUCCACAGGAAAGUGGGGAAAUGAGAUAAGUUAUUGCAACCAGGAUUAACACAAUCAGACAUUAAUUUUUCCUGAAAAAUAACAGACUUUUGCCACACUACUUAAUUUGAAGCAAUGACUGACUCUACUAGUCCUAAAGCAUAAGUUUAUGCAAAGCCCUCAUGAUGAAUUAGAAGUUGGUUGCAAAUAAGGUGAACAACUCAUGCCCUGGGACUUUCUCAGUUUUAGAAUUAAAAGUCCUUCUUUCUGGGAAUCUUCUCAGUCAUAGUCAAACUGUGAUUGCCAAGGACUCUCCAAGUUUGAGCACUGAAAGUCUUGAACUCUCCAAGUUUGAGCACUGAAAGUCUUGUGUCCCAGGAUCCUCUUCUGCUGAGUCCUGAGCAAACUGAGAUGGAUAAAUCACUCUAGUUCUGGUUGUAAAACUGGCAGUAGGAGUGAUGGGAACAGAUGGGCCCUGGCUGCAGUUCUGUGUCUGAGUCAAGCUGCUGUUAACUACAUGCACCAGUGGUGCUUUCCAUCGUCUUGGAAAACUGAAGGUGAUUACUUGUCAUAAUUCUGGAGGCUGGAAGUCCAAGAUAAAGGUGCUGGAAGACUUGUUGUCUGGUGAGAGUCCCCUUCCUGAUUGCAGACGGCUGUCUUCUCACUGUAUCCUCACCUGGCACAAAGAUGGGAGGGGAAAUGGCCUGGGCCAAGUUAAAGAGGCAUGACACAGUGGGGUCUUCAGGGCCUUGUAAUGAAUUCAGGAGGGCUGGUACAGAGCAGGUAUCAGGUGCUGCUGAAGAAGGACUUGCUGAAUUGGAGAGGAGGUGGAUGCUGGGGCCAUGUGCACACAACUGAGAAGUUCUCGCUGGAAACACCGUGCAUGACAGAGUUCAAUCCUUG
rnacentral:lncRNA from 10 species